ensembl:snRNA U6 U6 spliceosomal RNA
UCACUUUGGCAGUACCUAUAUUAAAAAUGGAAUGAUAUUAGAUUGGUAUGGUCUCUGUACAAGGAUAACAUGAAAAUUUUUGAAGCAUUCCCUGUUUUU